CUUGGCGGCCAUAGCGCAGUGGUCCCACCUGUUCCUUCCCGAACACAGAAGUGAAACGCUGCAGCGCCGAUGGUAGUGUCGCUUAAGCGAUGCAAGAGUAGGUCACCGCCAAGG
rnacentral:rRNA from 1 species